rnacentral:rRNA from 1 species
UACGGGGGGGGCAAGCGUUGUUCGGAAUUACUGGGCGUAAAGGGCUCGUAGGUGGCCAACUAAGUCAGACGUGAAAUCCCUCAGCUUAACUGGGGAACUGCGUCUGAUACUGGAUGGCUUGAAUCCGGGAGAGGGAUGCGGAAUUCCAGGUGUAGCGGUGAAAUGCGUAGAUAUCUGGAGGAACACCGGUGGCGAAGGCGGCAUCCUGGACCAGUAUUGACGCUGAGGAGCGAAAGCCAGGGGAGCAAACGGG